rnacentral:rRNA from 2 species
AAUGACAGGUGGUGCAUGGUUGUCGUCAGCUCGUGUCGUGAGAUGUUGGGUUAAGUCCCGCAACGAGCGCAACCCUUAUUACUAGGUUGCCAGCAUUAAGUUGGGCACUCUAGUGAGACUGCCGGUGACAAACCGGAGGAAGGUGGGGACGACGUCAAAUCAUCAUGCCCCUUAUGACCUGGGCUACACACGUGCUACAAUGGAUGGUACAACGAGUCGCGAGACCGCGAGGUUAAGCUAAUCUCUUAAAACCAUUCUCAGUUCGGACUGUAGGCUGCAACUCGCCUACACGAAGUCGGAAUCGCUAGUAAUCGCGGAUCAGCAUGCCGCGGUGAAUACGUU